rnacentral:rRNA from 1 species
GACGGAGGAUGCAAGUGUUAUCCGGAAUCACUGGGCGUAAAGCGUCUGUAGGUGGUUUCAAAAGUCCACUGUUAAAGAUUGAAGCUUAACUUCAAAAAUGCCGUGGAAACUUUGAAACUUGAGUAUGAUAGGGGUAGAGGGAAUUUCCAGUGGAGCGGUGAAAUGCGUAGAUAUUGGAAAGACCACCAAUGGCGAAGGCACUCUACUGGGCCAUUACUGACACUGAGAGACGAAAGCUAGGGGAGCAAACAGG